rnacentral:rRNA from 1 species
AGCGAACGCUGGCGGCAGGCCUAACACAUGCAAGUCGAGCGGCCGUAGCAAUACGGCAGCGGCAGACGGGAGAGUAACACGUGGGAACGUGCCCUUUGGUUCGGAAUAACGCAGGGAAACUUGCGCUAAUACCGAAUAAGCCCUUACGGGAAAGAUUUAUCGCCAUUGGAGCGGCCCGCGUCUGAUUAGCUAGUUGGGUGGGGUAACGGCGUCACCAAGGACGACGAUCAGUAGCUGGUCUGAGAGGAUGA